CUGCAAUGAUGACAAUUUAGGACACCUUUGGAUUAAACAUGAAACAAAUCAUGCGUUAUUUUCUGAGUAGC